UAGGAAUCAUGUGAUCACGGAUUCAUCUCAUUGGAUCUAGAUUCGGUUCCCGUGAUGGACAUUUUCAGCUGUAAGCAGCUUGCAAAUUAUUCUGCGAUGUCUGUAUUUCCUCAAAUGGUUUCCAUACCCACGAGGAAUUCGGCAUUAUUUUUGGAUGUAUUAUUUUUCAUACGGAUCCGUCAAAUAAAAUCAAUUCAGC
rnacentral:lncRNA from 1 species